rnacentral:rRNA from 1 species
GACGAACGCUGGCGGCGUGCUUAACACAUGCAAGUCGAACGGAAAGGCCCUGCUUUUGUGGGGUGCUCGAGUGGCGAACGGGUGAGUAACACGUGAGUAACCUGCCCUUGACUUUGGGAUAACUUCAGGAAACUGGGGCUAAUACCGGAUAGGAGCUCCUGCUGCAUGGUGGGGGUUGGAACGUUUCGGCGGUUGGGGAUGGACUCGCGGCUUAUCAGCUUGUUGGUGGGGUAGUGGCUUACCAAGGCUUGGACGGGUAGCCGGCCUGAGAGGGUGACCGGCCACAUUGGGACUGAGAUACGGCCCAGACGCCUACGGGAGGCAGCAGUGGGGAAUAUUGCACAAUGGGCGGAAGCCUGAUGCAGCAACGCCGCGUGCGGGAUGACGGCCUUCGGGUUGUAAACCGCUUUCGCCUGUGACGAAGCGUGAGUGACGGUAAUGGGUAAAGAAGCACCGGCUAACUACGUG